CGGCAUGCCUAAUACAUGCAAGUCGAGCGGACUUGAAGAGAAGCUUGCUUCUCUGAUGGUUAGCGGCGGACGGGUGAGUAACACGUAGGCAACCUGCCCUCAAGUUUGGGACAACUACCGGAAACGGUAGCUAAUACCGAAUAAUUGUUUUCUUCGCCUGAAGGAAACUGGAAAGACGGAGCAAUCUGUCACUUGGGGAUGGGCCUGCGGCGCAUUAGCUAGUUGGUGGGGUAACGGCUCACCAAGGCGACGAUGCGUAGCCGACCUGAGAGGGUGAUCGGCCACACUAGGACUGAGACACGGCCCAGACUCCUACGGGAGGCAGCAGUAGGGGAUCUUCCGCAAUGGGCGAAAGCCUGACGGAGCAAUGCCGCGUGAGUGAUGAAGGUUUUCGGAUCGUAAAGCUCUGUUGCCAGGGAAGAACGCUUGGGAGAGUAACUGCUCUCAAGGUGACGGUACCUGAGAAGAAAGCCCCGGCUAACUACGUGCCAGCAGCCGCGGUAAUACGUAGGGGGCAAGCGUUGUCCGGAAUUAUUGGGCGUAAAGCGCGCGCAGGCGGUCAUUUAAGUCUGGUGUUUAAUCCCGGGGCUCAACCCCGGAUCGCACUGGAAACUGGGUGACUUGAGUGCAGAAGAGGAGAGUGGAAUUUCCACGUGUAGCGGUGAAAUGCGUAGAUAUGUGGAGGAACACCAGUGGCGAAGGCGACUCUCUGGGCUGUAACUGACGCUGAGGCGCGAAAGCGUGGGGAGCAAACAGGAUUAGAUACCCUGGUAGUCCACGCCGUAAACGAUGAGUGCUAGGUGUUAGGGGUUUCGAUACCCUUGGUGCCGAAGUUAACACAUUAAGCACUCCGCCUGGGGAGUACGGUCGCAAGACUGAAACUCAAAGGAAUUGACGGGGACCCGCACAAGCAGUGGAGUAUGUGGUUUAAUUCGAAGCAACGCGAAGAACCUUACCAGGUCUUGACAUCCCUCUGACCGGUGCAGAGAUGUACCUUUUCUUCGGAACAUUCAAGACAGGUGGUGCAUGGUUGUCGUCAGCUCGUGUCGUGAGAUGUUGGGUUAAGUCCCGCAACGAGCGCAACCCUUAUAUUUAGUUGCCAGCAUUUCGGAUGGGCACUCUAGAUAGACUGCCGGUGACAAACCGGAGGAAGGUGGGGAUGACGUCAAAUCAUCAUGCCCCUUAUGACCUGGGCUACACACGUACUACAAUGGCCGGUACAACGGGCUGCGAAAUCGCGAGAUGGAGCCAAUCCCAACAAAGCCGGUCUCAGUUCGGAUUGCAGGCUGCAACUCGCCUGCAUGAAGUCGGAAUUGCUAGUAAUCG
rnacentral:rRNA from 1 species